rnacentral:rRNA from 1 species
AUUGAACGCUGGCGGCAGGCCUAAAACAUGCAAGUCGAACGAGUGGCGGACGGGUGAGUAAUGUCUGGGAUACUGCCUGAUGAAGGGGGAUAACUACUGGACACGGUAGCUAAUACCGCAUACCCUCGUCUGUGCCCAGAUGGGAUUAGCUAUUAGGUGGGGUACAGGCUCACAUAGUCGACGAUCCCUAGCUGGUCUGAGAGGAUGACCAGCCACACUGGAACUGAGACACGGUCCAGACUCCUACGGGAGGCAGCAGUGGGGAAUAUUGAACAAUGGGCGCAAGCCUGAUGCAGCCAUGCCGCGUGUAUGAAGAAGGCCUUCGGGUUGUAAAGUACUUUCAGCGGGGAGGCGUUACCCGCAGAAGAAGCACCGGCUAACUCCGUGCUAGCAGCCGCGGUAAUAC